AACGAACGCUGGCGGCAUGCCUAACACAUGCAAGUCGAACGAAGGCUUCGGCCUUAGUGGCGCACGGGUGCGUAACGCGUGGGAAUCUGCCCUUUGCUUCGGAAUAACAGUUAGAAAUGACUGCUAAUACCGGAUGAUGUCGCAAGACCAAAGAUUUAUCGGCAAAGGAUGAGCCCGCGUAGGAUUAGCUAGUUGGUGGGGUAAAGGCCUACCAAGGCGACGAUCCUUAGCUGGUCUGAGAGGAUGAUCAGCCACACUGGGACUGAGACACGGCCCAGACUCCUACGGGAGGCAGCAGUGGGGAAUAUUGGACAAUGGGCGAAAGCCUGAUCCAGCAAUGCCGCGUGAGUGAUGAAGGCCUUAGGGUUGUAAAGCUCUUUUACCCGGGAUGAUAAUGACAGUACCGGGAGAAUAAGCUCCGGCUAACUCUGUG
rnacentral:rRNA from 1 species